rnacentral:rRNA from 1 species
CCCCGAGGAAAAGAAAUCAACCGAGAUUCCCCCAGUAGCGGCGAGCGAACGGGGAGCAGCCCAGAGCCUGAAUCAGUGUGUGUGUUAGUGGAAGAGUCUGGAAAGGCGCGCGAUACAGGGGGACAGCCCCGUACACAAAAAUGCACAUGCUGUGAGCUCGAUGAGUAGGGCGGGACACGUGGUAUCCUGUCUGAAUAUGGGGGGACCAUCCUCCAAGGCUAAAUACUCCUGACUGACCGAUAGUGAACCAGUACCGUGAGGGAAAGGCGAAAAGAACCCCGGCGAGGGGAGUGAAAAAGAACCUGAAACCGUGUACGUACAAGCAGUGGGAGCACGCUUAGGCGUGUGACUGCGUACCUUUUGUAUAAUGGGUCAGCGACUUAUAUUCUGUAGCAAGGUUAACCGAAUAGGGGAGCCGAAGGGAAACCGAGUCUUAACUGGGCGUUAAGUUGCAGGGUAUAGACCCGAAACCCGGUGAUCU